ensembl:lncRNA
GGCGAGGUCAGCUGCAGGGAGGAAAGACAGCGAAGGUGAACGCGUGUUCAGACUCUCAUGAGCAAAUCUUGCAGGUGCAAGGAAUCCAGACAGCUAAAAUGGCUAGCGUGUACAAGAAGCAGGAAGCAGGGAGCAAACUGAGACACAAAAUGGUAACCUCACGUUGGUUCUCUUUUCACCAACAGCAACUUGACUCCACUGAAGUCGUUUGAGGGUCUGUGGAACCAUCUGAGGAGAGGUCAGAAGGAACAGGUCCAAUAGAAGCAUCUGUGUCUGUGAGAGAAGAUUGGAACAUCUGGAUCCAGAGAUCACUUCUCUGGAGCUGUCCUGGGUGUAGUACAAAUCAAACUACUAAUCAGUUCCUGUCACAGGAUUACCAGCUGCUGUCCACUGAGGGGCCGGAUGCGAACAUUUACCAAGAGGAGCCUGAUGGUGAAAGUCAGUGGUACCCCGACACUGAUGACACCCCAAGACAGUAGGAAGUAGCCUGAGACACAGUGCCCCUCUCUCCCUUUCACCAUCAGCUUCCCCCUCCCUUCCCCCCCCCCCUUCUUUUUAUGCUAAGAAAAAGGGAAGUAUGUUGGUAUCAGGAAUUGCCUUUACCUCCAACAGCGACACCGGUUGGUCACUGUUGCCAUGGCAACGGCCGUACAUUCCCAGUGUUCCUUUAGUUUAAUUCCCACCUCCAUCUGGGAGUAGUUACCUCACAUUCCAAAUAAAAGGCAGCCCUCUUCUGCCCUCCUUCUCUUCCUCUUCUUUCUCUCGAUCCUUCCCCUUGUCUCGUUCUCCCAUUAAAUCUCUCCACGUGGAACUGUGUUGGUUUGGUGUGCUCUAUCUGGACGGGC